rnacentral:rRNA from 1 species
AGUCGAGGGGCAGCGGGAUUGAAGCUUGCUUCAAUUGCCGGCGACCGGCGCACGGGUGAGUAACGCGUAUCCAACCUUCCGUACACUCAGGGAUAGCCUUUCGAAAGAAAGAUUAAUACCUGAUGGUAUGAUGAGAUUGCAUGAUAGCAUCAUUAAAGAUUUAUCGGUGUACGAUGGGGAUGCGUUCCAUUAGGUAGUAGGCGGGGUAACGGCCCACCUAGCCGACGAUGGAUAGGGGUUCUGAGAGGAAGGUCCCCCACAUUGGAACUGAGACACGGUCCAAACUCCUACGGGAGGCAGCAGUGAGGAAUAUUGGUCAAUGGACGAGAGUCUGAACCAGCCAAGUAGCGUGAAGGAUGAAGGUCCUACGGAUUGUAAACUUCUUUUAUAAGGGAAUAAAACCUCCCACGUGUGGGAACUUGUAUGUACCUUAUGAGUAAGCAUCGGCUAACUCCGUGCCAGCAGCCGCGGUAAUACGGAGGAUGCGAGCGUUAUCCGGAUUUAUUGGGUUUAAAGGGAGCGCAGACGGGUCGUUAAGUCAGCUGUGAAAGUUUGGGGCUCAACCUUAAAAUUGCAGUUGAUACUGGCGUCCUUGAGUGCGGUUGAGGUGUGCGGAAUUCGUGGUGUAGCGGUGAAAUGCUUAGAUAUCACGAAGAACUCCGAUUGCGAAGGCAGCACACUAAGCCGUAACUGACGUUCAUGCUCGAAAGUGUGGGUAUCAAACAGGAUUAGAUACCCUGGUAGUCCACACGGUAAACGAUGGAUACUCGCUGUUGGCGAUAUACAGUCAGCGGCUUAGCGAAAGCGUUAAGUAUCCCACCUGGGGAGUACGCC